rnacentral:rRNA from 1 species
GGUUGACCUCGGAUCAGGUAGGGAUACCCGCUGAACUUAAGCAUAUCAAUAAGCGGAGGAAAAGAAACCAACAGGGAUUGCCUCAGUAACGGCGAGUGAAGCGGCAAGAGCUCAAAUUUGAAAGCUGGCCCCCUCGGGGUCCGCGUUGUAAUUUGCAGAGGAUGCUUCGGGUGCAGCCCCCGUCUAAGUGCCCUGGAACGGGCCGUCAUAGAGGGUGAGAAUCCCGUCUGGGACGGGGUGUCUGCGUCCGUGUGAAGCUCCUUCGACGAGUCGAGUUGUUUGGGAAUGCAGCUCUAAAUGGGUGGUAAAUUUCAUCUAAAGCUAAAUACUGGCCGGAGACCGAUAGCGCACAAGUAGAGUGAUCGAAAGAUGAAAAGCACUUUGAAAAGAGAGUUAAACAGCACGUGAAAUUGUUGAAAGGGAAGCGUUUGCGACCAGACUCGCCCGCGGGGUUCAGCCGGCACUCGUGCCGGUGUACUUCCCCGUGGGCGGGCCAGCGUCGGUUUGGGCGGCCGGUCAAAGGCCCUCGGAAAGUAGCGCCCUUCGGGGAUUGUCUUAUAGCCGAGGGUGCAAUGCGGCCUGCCCGGACCGAGGAACGCGCUUCGGCUCGGACGCUGGCGUAAUGGUCGUAAAUGACC